AUGAACGCUGGCGGCGUGCCUAAUACAUGCAAGUCGAGCGAACAGACGAGGAGCUUGCUCCUCUGACGUUAGCGGCGGACGGGUGAGUAACACGUGGAUAACCUACCUAUAAGACUGGGAUAACUUCGGGAAACCGGAGCUAAUACCGGAUAAUAUAUUGAACCGCAUGGGUCAAUAGUGAAAGACGGUUUUGCUGUCACUUAUAGAUGGAUCCGCGCCGCAUUAGCUAGUUGGUAAGGUAACGGCUUACCAAGGCGACGAUGCGUAGCCGACCUGAGAGGGUGAUCGGCCACACUGGAACUGAGACACGGUCCAGACUCCUACGGGAGGCAGCAGUAGGGAAUCUUCCGCAAUGGGCGAAAGCCUGACGGAGCAACGCCGCGUGAGUGAUGAAGGUCUUCGGAUCGUAAAACUCUGUUAUUAGGGAAGAACAAAUGUGUAAGUAACUAUGCACGUCUUGACGGUACCUAAUCAGAAAGCCACGGCUAACUACGUG
rnacentral:rRNA from 1 species